AGUCUGGUCUUGUGGGGUUUAGGGGCUGGAAAUGGGGAAGAGCUAGAGCACAGCAUUUAGGAUUGAGUUUUAUACUAUUCGGUACUCCAAUUAUGAAAACAACGAUGAUGAUGCUUCUGACCUGCCCUGUUGGGCUGUUUCUUCCCCAUCCUUUUGGUGAGUAGCUGUGCUGUGUCAUUCUCAUGCUCCCCUGUCCUUCUGGUGAUGACGAGGCCCAUGUUGGAACCUACAGAAGUGAGAAGUGAAGACUGUGACCCUGGAGGGUGUUGCACUGGGAAAACUAGCUGGUAUAUUGGGAAUGUGAGCUAUGAGUUUAUCUGAAUUUUAACCAUGUUCUCACUAACUUAUCUGGUCCUGAGGGUCACCAAGCUAACAGGCUGGGUCAACCAUCAGCAGAGCCAGCUUCCUGAGCAUGUGAUCUACGAAGUCACACAGGCUCUGCACUUAAAAAUAAAAAGCCCUCCCCCUGGUUUAAGUUCUGCUACCAUCAUCUGGAAAUUUCUUAAGACCUUUUAAACAAAGGGUCCACAUUUUCUUUUUGCACUGGCCCUUGCAAACCAUGUAGCCAGUCCUGACUGUAAGAUCAGAUCUUCAAACAGUCCUAAUACAGUCGAUUGUGAAGAUAGUUUAGCUUUUAGGCUUCCCCAGCAGUAUUACAAUUUCCAGAGGAUUAAAGGAAGCACCUGAGGCAGUGAGAAGGAACACCUGCUGAAUCCUGAGAUCUAUCUACAGUACAGGAGCCAGGCUCAUUGAUUCUGUCGAAAGGCAAAGUGUGAUGCAGCCUUGAACAUGCCCAUCCCAGCAGUGCUAGGGUGCUCAGAGAAGAGGGUGAUUGGCAGUGGCAGAUGCAGCUGUGCGGUCAAGGAGGAGAAGCAUAAAGAGGCUUUUUAAUAUGCCCUCAAAGAAGUAAUUGGAGACCUGGAGAAACUGUAGAAGAGAAGAGUACAAGCUGGCUGGAAUCCAGAGGAGAAUUCCACAAGUGGAAUUGGAGAUAGCAAGAAAGAGACCAUGUUAGAGGAAUUUAGAGUGGGUGAGAGUUGGUGAGGGCUGAAUAUUUGUGGAUGGGUAGCCUGUACCUGUCUGAAGGUCACUGGAAGGCAGUGAGGGCAGAGGGAAAAAGUGAUGAAGGAGUAGGGAAGAAGAACAUAGUCUGGAAAACUGACGCUGCAAAGGAGAAGUUAGAGAGGGAGUAGAUAUUACAAAGGAUCCAGCAUGUAUCUGAGAGUCUCCAUAUCCUCACCUCUCAAUUGGUAAGACUCUGAGCAGCAAAGGAGUGCGACUGAAGGAAGGCUGCUUCUGCAAAUCUAGUCUGGAAACAUCUGCAGCAAAAUCACAUAUGGUGCUUAUUACAAAUGUAUUUUCUAGAUCCCAUCCUGGACCUUCACUAUCAGGUCCCUUGAGGACUUGGAGUUGGGAGGGCAAGAAUCAGGCUUUUAAACAAGAGUUUCAAAUAAAUCCUGAUGAAAUUCAACCUUUAAAAGAAAGACGACGGAGGAAUACAGCUAAGGCAGAUUUUGGAGGCCUGACCAUAUGGCACAGUGAUGCUGAGGCUGAGUGAAGAAGGAAGAGGUGUAAGCACAGGUAGCCCAGGCCUGCUAGUAUGGAGGCCAGCCUAGCCUGAGAUAACAGCAAUGUCC
rnacentral:lncRNA from 1 species